AUUUACUUCGGUAAAGAGCGGCGGACGGGUGAGUAACGCGUGGGUAACCUGCCCUGUACACACGGAUAACAUACCGAAAGGUAUGCUAAUACGAGAUAAUAUGCUUUUAUCGCAUGGUAGAAGUAUCAAAGCUUUUGCGGUACAGGAUGGACCCGCGUCUGAUUAGCUAGUUGGUAAGGUAACGGCUUACCAAGGCGACGAUCAGUAGCCGACCUGAGAGGGUGAUCGGCCACAUUGGAACUGAGACACGGUCCAAACUCCUACGGGAGGCAGCAGUGGGGAAUAUUGCACAAUGGGCGAAAGCCUGAUGCAGCAACGCCGCGUGAGCGAUGAAGGCCUUCGGGUCGUAAAGCUCUGUCCUCAAGGAAGAUAAUGACGGUACUUGAGGAGG
rnacentral:rRNA from 1 species